GGGGGGGGGGGGGGUAGGUGUUCUAAGGAGACGUGGGGGGCUUAUGGUGUGAUUCUUUGGAAAUUUAUUAGAAAGGGAUGGGAGAUUUUUGCUAAACAUAUUAAUUUUGCUGUUGGUGAGGGUUCAAGGAUCCCUUUUUGGCUUGAUGUUUGGUGGUGAUCGGGCUCUUUUUAGUACAUUUCCGGUUAUUUUUCAGAUGGCAGCCAAUUGGGAUGCUACUGUUGCUGAUUUGUUAACCCGUUCUAAUGGUACCUUGCAGUGAGAUGUUUGUUUUACUAGAGCUAUACAGGACUGGGAACUUGACAAGGUUUCUGAUUUUUUCAGCCUCUUAGGAUUGGGGGUAAUGAGAGGGAUAGAAUGUUAUGGAAGCAUAUGGGUGGUAAAAAGUUUUCGGUAUGGUCUUACUAUAAGGCGUUGACUGUUCAGCAUUGUUCUCCUUUUCCUUGGAAGCGUAUUUGGAGGUCUCAUGUGCCUUCCAAAGUCGCUUUUUUCAUAUGGACAGCAUCGCUCGGGAACAUUUUGACGAUCGAUAACUUGAGAAAGUGUGGUUUUGUGGUUAUGGAGUGGUGUUUCAUGUGCAAGAAACAUGGGGAAUCUGUGGAUCAUUUACUUCUGCACUGCGAGGUAGCAAAGGUAUUAUGGGAUGAUGUUUUCAGUAGAGUUGGGCUGGCUUGGGUGAUGCCUAUGAAAGUAGUGGAUCUACUUGUGUGUUGGAUUGGGCUUCAAAGUUCUCCUCAAGUGGCUGCUGUGUGGAAGAUGGUUCCUUUAUGUCUUAUGUGGUGUAUUUGGUGGGAAAGGAACGAGUGAUGCUUUAAUAAUAAGGAGCGCACUAUGGAGGAAAUCUGGAAAUUCUUCGUGUUCUCUUUUUUUCAAUGGUUUUCAGCUAUAGUGCUUAAUGGAGCUUCAACUAAUGAUUUUCUGUUUUCGUUUUCUUCUUUAUAGAAUGUAAUUAGGUGUUUUCUUUUGUAUACUUCCUCUAUGCAUGGGCUUUGCCUAUUUCAUUUGAUGAAUAUUUUUUUUUUUUUUUACUUA